GUUGUGGCUCAGUGGUACAGCGCACACCUAGCACAUGCGAGGUUCUGGGUUCGAUCCUAUGCACAACA
rnacentral:tRNA from 1 species